UGGGGAAUAUUAGACAAUGGGCGCAAGCCUGAUCCAGCCAUGCCGCGUGAGUGAAGAAGGCCUUAGGGUUGUAAAGCUCUUUCACCCGUGAAGAUGAUGACGGUAGCGGGAGAAGAAGCCCCGGCUAACUCCGUGCCAGCAGCCGCGGUAAUACGGAGGGGGCAAGCGUUGUUCGGAAUUACUGGGCGUAAAGGGCGCGUAGGCGGACCUUCAAGUCAGGGGUGAAAGGCCUGGGCUCAACCUGGGAACUGCCUUUGAAACUGGAGGUCUUGAGUCCGGGAGAGGAUGGCGGAAUUCCCAGUGUAGAGGUGAAAUUCGUAGAUAUUGGGAAGAACACCGGUGGCGAAGGCGGCCAUCUGGUCCGGCACUGACGCUGAGGCGCGAAAGCGUGGGGAGCAA
rnacentral:rRNA from 1 species